AAAAUAUCUAUCUUCAACAUCAACAGGCGCAAGGAUCGUCCUGAGCUUCUCCAUCUACUCUCUCUCUCUCUGACUCUGUCUCCAUCAAUCUGAUGGCACAUCGACUUCUACGCGACGCCCAGGCCGACGGGUGGGAGCGCUCCGACUUUCCGAUCAUCUGCGAGUCCUGUCUCGGUGAUAACCCUUACGUUCGAAUGACCAUAGCACACUAUGACAAGGAGUGCAAGAUUUGCACCAGGCCUUUCACGGUCUUCAGGUGGAGGCCAGGCCGAGAUGCGCGCUUUAAGAAGACUGAGAUUUGCCAGACAUGUAGUAAGCUGAAAAAUGUAUGUCAGGUUUGCCUCUUGGAUCUGGAAUAUGGUUUGCCCGUACAGGUUCGCGAUACUGCACUUGCUAUCAAUUCCAAUGAUGCCAUUCCGAAGAGUGAUGUUAACAGGGAGUACUUUGCUGAAGAGCAUGACCGAAGGGCAAGAGCUGGAAUAGAUUAUGAGUCCUCUUAUGGGAAGAUGCAUCCAAAUGAUACCAUUCUAAAGCUUCAAAGGACAACACCAUAUUACAAGAGAAACCGUGCACAUGUUUGCAGUUUUUAUGUGCGUGGAGAGUGUACUCGAGGUGCUGAGUGCCCUUAUCGGCAUGAAAUGCCUAUGACUGGGGAGUUGUCACAGCAAAACAUAAAAGAUCGAUAUUAUGGUGUGAAUGAUCCUGUUGCCCUUAAACUUCUGGGAAAGGCUGGCGAGAUGCCCUCUCUAUCUCCUCCUGAUGAUGAAAGCAUAAAAACACUUUAUGUUGGCGGUCUUGAUGCCCGAAUCACUGAGCAGGAUCUUAGGGAUCACUUCUAUGCCCAUGGAGAGAUUGAGUCCAUUAGGAUGGUUUCCCAGCGUGCAUGUGCCUUUGUGUCCUACACCAACCGAGAAGGAGCUGAGAAGGCCGCUGAGGAACUCUCUAACAAGCUUGUAAUAAAGGGCCUUCGCCUAAAACUAAUGUGGGGGAAACCCCAAGUACAAAAAACAGAGUUGGAGAAUGCAGAUGAUGAAGCAGCUCACCAAAGUCUUGUGGCACAUGGUGGCUUACUCCCAAGGGCAGUUAUAUCACAGCAGCAGAGCAGUCUGCAGCCUCACCCUCCAGGAACCCAUGAGCAUAAUAACCAGCAAAUGCCCAUGCAUUACUUCAACAUCCCCCCUCCAUUGCCAUCAGAGAGGACCUUCUACCCAUCCAUGGAUCCACAGAGGAUGGGAGCGGCUGUGCCCGUGCCCUCUUCUCAGGAACCGAGCGAUGGCAAGGCUGGAUUAGAUAGGCAGACCAGAGGCGCAGAAGGUUCUUCCCAGAUAUAUCCAGGGCCUCCCCCACAGAUGCAAGGCCAGUACCCACCUUAUUAUCCACCCUAUGCUUAUAUGGCACCUCCCCCGCCUCAUUACCAGCAUCAACAAUACCAUCCAUAUCAGCAGAUGAUGUUGCCUCCACGGACGCCACAGCCAGUGCCACAACAGCCACAACCUUCUGCCAGUCUUCUGCACCAGAAUGCUGGUGCUGCUGCAUCUUCAUCCCAGAAUUGAUGCUUCACUUGCUUUAAACUAUAUUCCAAGAAGAGCACUCAGGCUCAUGAUCAUGGCGCCUUCGAAGAAGCAAUCUGUUGCCAUGGACUAGCUAGGAUCAGUGUGAACUGUGAAGUAAUGGAGAUAACCAUGGCCACCCACUACUGUCUUUUACAUCGCCUGCUGCAGCUCAGUUUAGCCAUGGAUGAUGAAGGUUCCACAGGUUAUGACGACGGAGCUUCUGCUCCUCCCUGCGAACCCGGUCUAUGAAUGUGGUGUAAGGGAGGUCUCUGGUAAACUUGACCUGUAAGCCAUUGAUCACGCCACUGAUAAUUGUUUCAAUCUCCUGUUAUCAUUUAAGAAGUUAGUAGAUGAUGAUAUGAUCCAUGCCAUGUAAGGUGCUCCGGCAGUAAGGAAAUUUUUACUUGCUGUAAAGUUUAAAGUGUCAUUAAUCUCUCCUUCAUGCGUGUUAAAAGGGUAAGAUAUUUUGAUAUUAGUAUGCGUAUGAAGUUCAGAUAUUUAUUUGACAUAAAAUGAAUUCAAACAUGGCUGAAAAGUGGGUCUUCUUUUAGAACUCA